rnacentral:rRNA from 1 species
ACGGGUGAGUAAUAUAUGAGAAUCUGCCUUUUAGUGGAGAAUACCUUCGAGAAAUUGAAGUUAAUACUGCAUAUGUCCUUCGGGAGAAAGAUGGCCUCUUUGCUGUCGCUAAAAGAUGAGCUCAUACACUAUCAGCUAGUUGGUGGGGUAAAGGCCUACCAAGGCUAUGACGGUUAGCCGGCCUGAGAGGGUGUACGGCCACACUGGAACUUAGACACGGUCCAGACUCCUACGGGAGGCAGCAGUGGGGAAUAUUGCGCAAUGGGCGAAAGCCUGACGCAGCGACGCCGCGUGGAGGAUGGAGGUCUUAGGAUUGUAAACUUCUGUUAAGUGGGAAGAAAAGUCUAUGCUUAAUACGCAUGGAAAAUGACGGUACCAUUAGAGAAAGCACCGGCUAACUUCGUGCCAGCAGCCGCGGUAAUACGAAGGGUGCAAGCGUUAUUCGGAAUCAUUGGGCGUAAAGGGUGUGUAGACGGUAUAUUAAGUCUAUUGUUAAAUCUUCUGGCCUAACCAGAAAUCAGCAGUGGAUACUGAAGUACUAGAGGGUGGAAGAGAGAAGUGGAAUUCUCGGAGUAGCGGUAAAAUGCGUA